rnacentral:rRNA from 1 species
AUUGAACGCUGGCGGCAGGCUUAACACAUGCAAGUCGAGCGGGGGAAGGUAGCUUGCUACUGGACCUAGCGGCGGACGGGUGAGUAAUGCUUAGGAAUCUGCCUAUUAGUGGGGGACAACAUCUCGAAAGGGAUGCUAAUACCGCAUACGUCCUACGGGAGAAAGCAGGGGAUCUUCGGACCUUGCGCUAAUAGAUGAGCCUAAGUCGGAUUAGCUAGUUGGUGGGGUAAAGGCCUACCAAGGCGACGAUCUGUAGCGGGUCUGAGAGGAUGAUCCGCCAAACUGGGACUGAGACACGGCCCAGACUCCUACGGGAGGCAGCAGUGGGGAAUAUUGGACAAUGGGGGGAACCCUGAUCCAGCCAUGCCGCGUGUGUGAAGAAGGCCUUAUGGUUGUAAAGCACUUUAAGCGAGGAGGAGGCUACUUUAGUUAAUACCUAGGGAUAGUGGACGUUACUCGCAGAAUAAGCACCGGCUAACUCUGUGCCAGCAGCCGCGGUAA